GUUACCUUCGGGUAAUGAGGAUGGCGGACGGGUGAGUAACGCGUAAGGAACUUGCCUCUUGGACUGGGAGAACUGUUGGAAACGACAGCUAAUACCGGAUAUUAUGAGAUUCUCGCAUGAGAAACUUAUGAAAGCUAUAUGCGCCAAGAGAGAGCCUUGCGUUCCAUUAGCUAGUUGGUGGGGUAAUGGCCCACCAAGGCGACGAUGGAUAGCCGGCCUGAGAGGGUGAACGGCCACAAGGGGACUGAGACACGGCCCUUACUCCUACGGGAGGCAGCAGUGGGGAAUAUUGGACAAUGGGCCACAAGCCUGAUCCAGCAAUUCUGUGUGCACGAUGAAGGUCUUCGGAUUGUAAAGUGCUUUCAGUUGGGAAGAAGAAAGUGACGGUACCAACAGAAGAAGCGACGGCUAAAUACGUGCCAGCAGCCGCGGUAAUACGUAUGUCGCAAGCGUUAUCCGGAUUUAUUGGGCGUAAAGCGCGUCUAGGCGGAAAAAUAAGUCUGAUGUUAAAAUGCGGGGCUCAACUCCGUAUUGCGUUGGAAACUGUUUUUCUAGAGUACUGGAGAGGUGGGCGGAACUACAAGUGUAGAGGUGAAAUUCGUAGAUAUUUGUAGGAAUGCCGAUGGAGAAGUCAGCUCACUGGACAGAUACUGACGCUGAAGCGCGAAAGCGUGGGGAGCAAACA
rnacentral:rRNA from 1 species